UACGGGGGGAGCAAGCGUUGUUCGGAUUUACUGGGCGUAAAGGGCUCGUAGGUGGCCAACUAAGUCAGACGUGAAAUCCCUCGGCUUAACCGGGGAACUGCGUCUGAUACUGGAUGGCUUGAGUUCGGGAGAGGGAUGCGGAAUUCCAGGUGUAGCGGUGAAAUGCGUAGAUAUCUGGAGGAACACCGGUGGCGAAGGCGGCAUCCUGGACCGACACUGACACUGAGGAGCGAAAGCCAGGGGAGCAAACGGG
rnacentral:rRNA from 1 species